AGAAUAAGGUCGAGUCAUUAUGCUCUUUUUUCAGAGAUAUUCAUGUGUUACAAAGUUUGCCACUAGAGAUCUUACUACAUGAGUACAUGAGAGGUGAAAAGGUUAUCAUCCGAAUUGAAAACUGAAAUGUCUUUAUGAAGGAGGAAUUAUUUGGAAUCUUUGGUUAGUUACUUAAAGGUGGACAGGAGAUAAAUUUUGCACAUACUGCCCGUCAAGCAAAGAGCAGAGAUAUAGAUUUAAACAGACCACAAAUCAUUAUGGUGGCCUGUAUUUUAGGUUGUUUCCCGAGGUAUUGUAGGUGCAAAAGUUGGAGAACUCGCAUUCUGCAAAGUGUUAAGUCGAAACAUGGUAGCUCAUCAGGAAUGAUGGGCUUGAUU
rnacentral:rRNA from 1 species